UCGAGGAUCUUUCGCAAUGGGCGAAAGCCUGACGGAGCGACGCUGUGUGAGUGAUGAAGGCCUUCGGGUCGUAAAACUCUUUUGCCUGCGAACAAGAAAGAUGCGUGAAUAACGCAUCAAUUUGAGAGUAUCAGGAGAAAAAGCACCGGCUAACUACGUGCCAGCAGCUGCGGUAAUACGUAGGGUGCAAGCAUUAAUCGGAAUUAUUGGGCGUAAAGGGCGCGUAGGCGGAUUGAUAAGUCAGAUGUGAAAUACCAAAGCUCAACUUUGGUGCUGCAUUUGAAACUGUCUCUCUAGAGGAUUGACGGAGAAAGGGGAAUUCCACGUGUAGCGGUGAAAUGCGUAGAUACGUGGAGGAACACCGGUGGCGAAAGCGCCUUUCUAGUUUAGACCUGACGCUGAGGCGCGAGAGCAAGGGGAGCAAACA
rnacentral:rRNA from 1 species